UGUUUCGGCUAGGGGGCCAUCCCGGCUUACCAACCCGAUGCAAACUGCGAAUACCGGAGAAUGUUAUCACGGGAGACACACGGCGGGUGCUAACGUCCGUCGUGAAGAGGGAAACAACCCAGACCGCCAGCUAAGGUCCCAAAGUCAUGGUUAAGUGGGAAACGAUGUGGGAAGGCCCAGACAGCCAGGAUGUUGGCUUAGAAGCAGCCAUCAUUUAAAGAAAGCGUAAUAGCUCACUGGUCGAGUCGGCCUGCGCGGAAGAUGUAACGGGGCUAAACCAUGCACCGAAGCUGCGGCAGCAACGCUGAUGCGUUGUUGGGUAGGGGAGCGUUCUGUAAGCCUG
rnacentral:rRNA from 1 species